GAAGUUGUUCUAAUCGCUGGAGAAAAAGUUUCACGCAAAAAUGACCCCCCCCAAAAUAGAAUGAAAAGUAGAGAUAAAUCAACCGAGAAAGAGGACAUGUGAUUUGGAGACGCGUUGUCAAGGUGGAAUAUAUUUCUACAGGUCGCAGAAACGAGACUGGAAAAAUAUCAGCACAAAUGUGAUGAGUUGGAGGUGCAACACAAUGACUUCCCCUCUCAGUACUUUACUGUUGAGAAGGACAUGGGGCUCUACGUGAAGUGCUCACUGGCCCAGAAGGAGGAUGAGCUCACAGACCUGUCAGAGCAACUGGGGAGGGGACUCCUUUGAGCUGCAGCUCAGUCAACUCCGCCAAGAGUUGCAGGAGAACAAGGACAAGCUCACCUUUUGAGAACAUGGUUCUUGCGGGUAAGCUGGAAGCUCCGGAGGAGUCCCUUGUGCAGAAGGAGGAGCAGCUCAGGAAGUAGAGACAGGAGCAUCACACAGUCAACUACAGCCUAGAGAGGAAGGCCGUGCUGGACAGAGACAUGUCAGUGCCAUAUGUACACUGAGUGUACAAAACAUUAAGAACACUUGCUCUUUCCAUGACAGACUGACCGGGUGAAUCCAGGUGAAAGGCAUGAUCCCUUAUUGAUGUAAUUUGUUAUAUCCACUUCAAUCAGUGUAGAUGAAGGGGAGGAGACAGGUUAAAGAAGGAUUGCUAAGCCUUGAGAUAAUUCAGACAUGGAUUGUGUAUGUGUGCUAUUCAGAGGGUGGAUGGGCAAGACAAAAAAUGUAAGUGCCUUUGAAUAAGGUAUGGGGGGGUGCAAGGUAUUCCUAAUACUUGGUAUACUUGUGUAUAUACCCUGUAUUAUUUGGUCACUGCUGCUCAAAACUUUCCUUCACUCAGCAUCUAACAGAUUUUCUUCACUCAGCACUCAACAGAUUAUCACUCCAAACACAUUUUUGCCAUAAAGUCAUUCAAUGACAGAAAGGGAGGGGGGUCCCGUACAACUACAACUGUAACUGCAGCCUUUAAAAACAACAACAUCAAUAUAAAACAUGUAUGUUCCAAUCAGGGACUCUGACUCCUGCUCAUACUCUCCCUCCCUAUGCCCUCUAGCCAAGAGUUUCCCAAAUUCGGUCCUUAUACUGUGUUGUACACCCAACUACAACCACAUCCUGUCCAAGAUGGAACCACUCUCCAAGAGCACCUGCCUUCAACUUCAUAGCCUCUUUGUUCAUCUGGAAACCCCCACUGCCCUAGAAGAGGACUAGUCCAUCCAAACCCUCUGGUCCAGAGUGCCUGGCUCCUCUGCUGGGUGACCCUUCCAGAGGGAGCCUGUUUACCCCCCACAGACCCACCCCAAUCAGGGGUAGCCCCACUGAACCCAUCAUCAGAGAGGCAGGACUGGGCUUCAAACCCCUUUAAUGGGACAUUUCCAACAGAAAAUAAAUGGCGCUACUUGGUUAUGCAAAAAAUAUUGUCACUUAUACAUUAUAUUUUUCAGCCACUAGGUGGCAGCAACUAUACUUAGAAUAUGUCCUACUGAGUCCGACAAAGAUCAGCCACUAGAAAGUUUUCUAGAGAAAGCAAUCAAAAGCUCUGUUAUUUUGUGUUAUUAGUUUUUUAAAGACUGUAUCCAAAAAAUAAACAUCAGAAAUGUAUUACUCAAAAGAGUAAGGCAUACUGUAGCACAGCCAUUGUCCUCAUACUAAAUCCAAUACAGUGGGGUAAAAAAGUAUUUAGUCAGCCACCAAUUGUGCAAGUUCUCCCACUUAAAACGAUGAGGCCUGUAAUUUUCAUCAUAGGUACACUUCUCAACUAUGACAAACAAAUUAUUUAAAAAAUCCAGAAAAUCACAUUGUAGGAUUUUUUAUGAAUUUAUUUGCAAAUUAUGGUGGAAAAUAAGUAUUUGGUCACCUACAAACAAGCAAGAUUUCUGGCUCUCACAGACCUGUAACUUCUUCUUUAAGAGGCUCCUCUAUCCUCCACUCGUUACCUGUGUUAAUGGCACCUGUUUGAACUUGUUAUCAGUAUAAAAGACACCUGUCCACAACCUCAAAUAGUCACACUCCAAACUCCACUAUGGCCAAGACCAAAGAGCUGUCAAAGGACACCAGAAACAAAAUUGUAGACCUGCACCAGGCCUGUCAUGUUUCAAUUCUGUACGUGUUCAGUAUUGAUGAUACUUGUAUGAUGCAUGAGUUCAGUGCAGAUAUUGAUUGAAUGGAUCAGGUGACUCAGUCUUUACUCCUCAAUUGAAAAUGUUCCAAUGAUCAAUGCGUUAGGGUAAGAGCAUGGUGCUUGUAGCCUUAGGGUUGCGAGUUCAAAUCUCAUUGACUGCUUAUGCUGAAUAUAGGCCUAUGUGUCAUUAACCAGCUUUUCAUCCAACCAUUUCAUGAAGAUGAAUUACCUGACGCAUGACAAUAUAUUGAUAUUGAUAUAAUAAACAUCAUAACGAAGUAAACUUGGAGUCAACUCAAUGAUAUGUUGUGUGGUCCUCCAACUACGACUCGGGAAACCAUGCAGUCUAUUAAGGUAUGGGUGAAAUAAAUUAUGAACUUCACAGGGUGGUGAAAGUGAACGUGAUGAGUUUGAUACUCUUUUCCAAUAAAUAUCGAAGA